UCAGCGUCAAGCUUUAACGUCCAAUCAGUGUAACGUGACAAGUGUUUGCAAGUACAUCUCAUAAAUUAUCAGUGAAAUGAAAUGAGAUCACGAAGUUAAUGCAUCUACUUUUGCAUUUAUUUUGGUCAAGAGCAUUUGCCAUGUCUCUAAGUAGCUUGCAGCUAGAUAGUAACCCGGCCUGGGCAUGGUUAUACAUGCACAGAAUAUAGAAGAUCUGAAGCUAGCAGAACGUGUUCAGAACACACAAGCACACAUGGAGAGAUUGCAUGGGUUCAUUUCUAGAACUUGUAAACUGAAACCUUAUGAUAAUAUUCAUUCCAGAGGAGUCCACAAUCAUUCUACAAUCCAGUUGUCUCUUGGAAUCUGCUGGGGACUGGUUCUAGGACCUCCUUUGGAUACCAAAAUCCAUGCAAACUCUCAAGUCCCUUCUACAAAACAGUGUAGUGUUUGCAUGUAACCUAUGCAUGUCCAUCUAUACCCUUUA